GCUGUUUAUACAGCUGUAUCUAGAUGCUUGUUUAAAUAUUUUAUUGCAUUAACUCUUAUUAAUUUAUAAAAAAUGAAUGGAAGACCGGAAAAAAAUGUGUUAAUUUCAGGGAUCAUAAGGCCAUGUUUCAUAAAUCUAGAUUAAGAGGAAAUUGCAAAUGUAUGUUCGGGCUUACUGGACUAAGGGGUGUUUGCCAUAACUAUACUGGAAAUCAAAGUCUUCUGAUAUGAAUGAGACAUAUUUCCUUUAGAAAGAAAGAGAGAGGGAGGGAGAGAGAAAGACAGAGAGAAGCAGAAAGAGAAAAGAAAAAGAAAGAAAGGAAGAAAAGGUAAGUCAAAAAACUCAGUCCAGCACUUUGUCAGCUAAGUAGAUGAGUUGUAGGGCUAUGUUAAGGACAAAGAUUAAGUGUCAAGAUUUGGGCAUUGACCCAAAGCAGUAAGUUGAGGAAGUAAUAACAGGGAACUAGAUAAAGCAAAGAUAUGCUGGCUCUCUCAAUCUCUCUCUCUCUCUCAAUCCCUCUCAAUCUCUCUCUCUCAUAGUAAGAAGUAUAAUUUUCAAUUCAAAUUUUUAAAUUACGAUUACCAUGCAUUAAGUGCACAAAUUAACGGGGUUCACUAUGACAUCUGCACACUCGCAAGCACCGAUCGUGUUCACAGCAAGAAUUAAGAGGCCCUCUUACUAGUUGGAGCCAUUUCCUUGGAGAAGACAGGAGCUCACACCGCGCUGUCGUCAGGCUUGCCCCGUGGAGGAGCAUCCCCAUUUCCUCGUUCAUUCUCCGAGGCCCUUGAGUACGGCCUGCUCUGGCUAAUGCACUAUUUCAAUUACUUUAAUGGCAGGGAAUUCAUGGACCUUGCAUUAUACAAACGCCCCCAAACAACGCCAGCCUUCAGGCCCAACCACAAGAUUCUUUGUGAAACUGGCGCUCGAGAUAAGAAGCGAGGUACUUCCUCUUCUGUGAGCGCUGAGAAGGCCUCCAAAAGGGUGAGGGGCAAGGGCUGCGCAUCUUCAGGGGGGUGUGCUGUUGGGGGACGGCGUGGCACCUUCUGGGGUGUCCUGACACGCUCAGGUGACGUGCGGAGCUGACCGGUAAGUGCUGCAAGGCAAGCUAACGUGAUAAAGCUUUAAGAAGCAGCAGCUACAGCAGAUGUUACAUCUAACCGAUUUGUCGCUUAAAAUGAGGAAAACAGCAUCUAAAAAGAUAGCGUUGCGGAACCAGUACCAAACCGACUGGAAAAUGCUCUGCCCCAAGCAGUGGGAAGGCGACCAAGUCCCUUGUGUCGGCGGCUGGCGGGGGAAUCGCUCCCAAAGCAUCAGCCCAGAGCUGACUUUGGGCUUAGUUGAUAUUGGUUUGCAAGCAGGAGAUACAAAAGCUUAAAAGCCUGGUGAAUUUUUAUUGGGUAGCAUCCGUUACCUCUCACUGUCGGGCAGAAAGUUCUUGAAGUAAGUGCGUACUAUUGUUGGUCAUCUCUAGCUGCUGGAAAGCACCGGUGGUGUAGCUGGGUGCGGUCAAACUGAGCCGGGUCAGGUUAUUUCUGGUGCAGU
rnacentral:lncRNA from 1 species